ACAGAGCCCCAGCUACACUAACAAGAAGCUUAGUGCAGUGGCUUCUAGGACCUGCUCUAAAGGAAAAAGUUUCUCCAGCACACUUAGGUGCUGAUGUUCCCUGAUCGCCCUGAUAAUGCCUGGGAGGAAGAAUGGAACGUCUGGAACGAUGCAUAACUGCACUGAUCCGAUGGAGAAGAGGAAGUUGCUUGGAAGGAAUCAGCUUUUUACUGGAGCCCUACUACCACCCGGGGACCCAUCCCUGAACCUCCUAGGGGGGACAGAUACUCGUCUGGCACGAUUCAUGCUGACAUCAACUCAGAACUUCUUGCAGAAAACCGGAGGAAAGAGGCAGAACUUUCCAGAACAUCAGUUCUUAAAUCCCUAGGAAAUACUUUUGCUAUGGUUUCCUAGCAAAACACAGACCAAUAUAUCAAGUUAAAAAAAAUAAAUGAG